rnacentral:rRNA from 1 species
UUGGGGUCGAGUUGUAAUUUGCAGAGGGUGUUUCGGGUACGGUGCCGGUUUAAGUCCUUUGGAACAGGGCGUCAUAGAGGGUGAGAACCCCGUAUGUGACCGGUCGCCAAACCCAUGUGAAACCCCUUCGACGAGUCGAGUUGUUUGGGAAUGCAGCUCAAAAUGGGUGGUAAAUUUCAUCUAAAGCUAAAUAUUGGCCAGAGACCGAUAGCGCACAAGUAGAGUGAUCGAAAGAUGAAAAGCACUUUGGAAAGAGAGUCAAACAGCACGUGAAAUUGUUGAAAGGGAAGCGCUUGCGACCAGACCUGCUCGCGGGUGAUCAGCGGUGCUUUUCGCGCCGUGCACUCAUCCGCGAUCAGGCCAGCAUCGGUUCAGGCGGCCGGAUAAAGACUCGGAGAAUGUAGCUCCCUCCGGGGAGUGUUAUAGCUCCUUGUGCAAUACGGCCAGCCGGGACCGAGGACCGCGCUUCGGCUAGGAUGCUGGCGUAAUGGUCGUAAGCGACCCGUCUUGAAACACGGACCAAGGAGUCUAACAUCUGUGCGAGUGUUUGGGCGUCAAACCCAUGCGCGCAAUGAAAGUGAACGUGAGGUGGGAACCCUUUCGGGGGCGCACCAUCGACCGAUCCAGAUGUCUUCGGAUGGAUUUGAGUAAGAGCACAGCUGUUGGGACCCGAAAGAUGGUGAACUAUGCCUGAAUAGGGUGAAGCCAGAGGAAACUCUGGUGGAGGCUCGCAGCGGUUCUGACGUGCAAAUCGAUCGUCAAAUUUGGGUAUAGGGGCGAAAGACUAAUCGA